AAUGAACGCUGGCGGCGUGCUUUACACAUGCAAGUCGAGCGAGGCGGGUAGCAAUACCCAGUCGAGCGGCGAGCGGGUGAGUAACGCGUGGAUAACCUGCCCAGAGGUGGGGGAGUAACCCGGGGAAACGUACGGGCGUAAUACCGCAUAUGACCGUGAGGUCGGAAGGGGGACGUCGCAAGAGCUCUCGCCAUUGGAGGGGU
rnacentral:rRNA from 1 species